rnacentral:lncRNA from 1 species
CGGGCAUAUAGUUAUGGCAAUUGAAGUACACAAGUAGACCCUUACACUUGAAUGCUUGAUACAUAUUUUGUACCCUUAUACAUAAGAUAAUAUAUGCUUGGCACUACAUGUGCAACAUUACACUAAUUAUGUAUGUGUACAAUCACUCGAGAAUAAAAAUGGAUGUAUCUAAUAUAAAUGCAGAUUAAACACAUCAAUUUUUUAGAUAUAUAUUUAUAUUUUGAACAGAGUACAUAUAUGCAAUCACUUGACUAACUAUUACAUACAUGAUGGGAAUUAAUGAAGAUGAAAAUAAAUGAAACUUUCCAAAACCUUAAAAAUGGUGGUGAUGAAUGAUGAUAAAGUGUGAGUCAUCCAUAGUUGUGCCAGCAGAGUAACAUGACCAAGCAUCUUCUCAUUAUGUAAAAUCUGCCUCUGUACUCUUUUAAAGCGCCACUGCAUCUCCUUCCAAGCCUCCAACAACAUUGCUCAUCUUUCUUAGAUGUUUUUGAGCUACACUCACCCAUUUAUUAUUUUCUUCUAAAGUGUUCUUAAACUCUUCUAGCUAGUGAGAUACGUUUGCUUGCUACAUCCUGACCUGCAUGGUUAUAUAUAAGAAGAAAAAAAAGAGAGAGAACUAACACUAAGGAGUCACAUUCAUACUUUUUUUAAAAAUAAGUUAAAUAAUAGAACUUACUAAUAUAAAAUAUCUAAAAU